rnacentral:rRNA from 1 species
UACAGAGGUCUCAAGCGUUGUCCGGAUUUACUGGGCGUAAAGGGCUCGUAGGCGGCCAACUAAGUCAGACGUGAAAGCCCACGGCUCAACCGUGGAGGGUCAUUGGAAACUGGGGAACUUGAGUGCAGAAGAGAAAAGCGGAAUUCCACGUGUAGCGGUGAAAUGCGUAGAGAUGUGGAGGAACACCAGUGGCGAAGGCGGCUUUUUGGUCUGUAACUGACGCUGAGGCGCGAAAGCGUGGGGAGCAAACAGG